rnacentral:rRNA from 1 species
GAUGAACGCUGGCGGCGUGCCUAAUACAUGCAAGUCGAGCGAACAGACGAGGAGCUUGCUCCUCUGACGUUAGCGGCGGACGGGUGAGUAACACGUGGAUAACCUACCUAUAAGACUGGGAUAACUUCGGGAAACCGGAGCUAAUACCGGAAAAUAUAUUGAACCGCAAGGUUCAAUAGUGAAAGACGGUUUUGCUGUCACUUAUAGAUGGAUCCGCGCCGCAUUAGCUAGUUGGUAAGGUAACGGCUUACCAAGGCAACGAUGCGUAGCCGACCUGAGAGGGUGAUCGGCCACACUGGAACUGAGACACGGUCCAGACUCCUACGGGAGGCAGCAGUAGGGAAUCUUCCGCAAUGGGCGAAAGCUUGACGGAGCAACGCCGCGUGAGUGAUGAAGGUCUUCGGAUCGUAAAACUCUGUUAUUAGGGAAGAACAAAUGUGUAAGUAACUAUGCACGUCUUGACGGUACCUAAUCAGAAAGCCACGGCUAACUACGUG